UAUCCCUACUGGUGAUACAUCCCUUUGUGCUGGUCAGGUGUUUGACAUUCAGGCCUGUUAGUCCAUGUUGGUACAGGUUAGUCCACGUGGGUACAGGUUAGUCCACGUGGGUACAGGUUAGUCCACGUGGGUACAGGUUAGUCCUGGUCAUUUGUAAUUAAGGAACAGAGCUGGAGGUAUUAUUGUACGCCUCCCAAAUGGCACCCUAACACACACACACACACACGCACACACACACACACACACACACACACACACACAGCUAAUUGGCCUUACUGUCAAGACAAGAGGAUAGAGAGAGAGGGAGAUGUGAGAAGGAGAUGAGAGAGGGGGAGAGAGGCUGGAUGAAGGGGGAGAAGGAUAUAGAGGGAGAGAGGCUGGGUGAAGAGGGAGAUAGAGGGAGAGAGGCUGGGUGAAGAAGGAGAAGGAGAUAGAGGGAGAGGGGCUGGGUGAAGAGGGAGAAGGAGAUAGAGGGAGAGAGGCUGGGUGAAGAGGGAGAAGGAGAUAGAGGGAGAGAGGCUGGGUGAAGAGGGAGAAGGAGAUAGAGGGG
ensembl:lncRNA